AAUAUUUAUAUCGUAUAAAUUUUUAUUGAUUCGAACUUAAACACUAAACAGGUGGUCAGGUCAAACAACUGACAUUUAAUGAAUAUUUUGUUUAAAAUAUUUUAAAAUAGUUUUUAUAACUGAUAAAUCAAACUGUUUCUAACUAUACAGAAAUUGAAAAAAUAAACAUAAUGUCACCGGAUGCAUCUUUUAAGUAGUAUUCAUUUUGUUCUACAAGAUAAAUAAAUAUGCAAAUAUGGAAAUAUUAUGAACGCUAUAAGGCUCCUAGUAGAGUAGUAGUAGCUGUUGAAUUAAAAUUAGCAGCUUCCUUGAGAGCUCUUGAGGAAGGGAGAUGUCAGUGAUCCAGCGCUUCACUGAACAUAUGUUCUGUGCUUUCCGCAACUUACGCAACCUUCAGAAUUUAUAUAUAUGCAAAUAUGUAAUGCAAAUGUGCGGAAACUGCAAAGGAGCAACUUCAGAAUACAAAAUUUGCAUACUUGGAGCCACGAAGAAGAGGUUAUAAAAUGAAAUUAUGCGCAUAAAUAAAGAUUUCCAAAGCUAUUCUCUGUACAGUGUGUCGCAGAAUUAAAAAUUAUUGA